rnacentral:tRNA from 1 species
GGUGUGUUGCCAGAGUGGUUAAUGGGUAUGACUCGAAUGGCUAAACGCCUAGAUAUCAUAUGGUUUCGGCCGCGCAGGUUCAAAUCCUGCAUACAUCG